AAUUAUGGCGGCUAUGCGUGGGAGACCUUCGGGUCUGCCGGUUCUCGGGCGUCACCGGUUCGCCAACCCGCGCAUGGCUGCCACCCUU
rnacentral:antisense_RNA from 1 species